CCUACGGGAGGCAGCAGUGAGGAAUAUUGGUCAAUGGACGAGAGUCUGAACCAGCCAAGUAGCGUGAAGGAUGACUGCCCUAUGGGUUGUAAACUUCUUUUAUAUGGGAAUAAAACGUUCCACGUGUGGGAUUUUGUAUGUACCAUAUGAAUAAGGAUCGGCUAACUCCGGGCCAGCAGCCGCGGUAAUACGGAGGAUCCGAGCGUUAUCCGGAUUUAUUGGGUUUAAAGGGAGCGUAGGUGGAUUGUUAAGUCAGUUGUGAAAGUUUGCGGCUCAACCGUAAAAUUGCAGUUGAAACUGGCAGUCUUGAGUACAGUAGAGGUGGGAGGAAUUCGUGGUGUAGCGGUGAAAUGCUUAGAGAUCACGAAGAACUCCGAUUGCGAAGGCAGUUCACUGGACUGCAACUGACACUGAGGCUCGAAAGUGUGGGUAUCAAACAGGAUUAGAUACCCCGGUAGUC
rnacentral:rRNA from 1 species